rnacentral:lncRNA from 1 species
UUUCUAUUGUUUGGUGGAUUGUUGUAUAUGGGGGAAUUGUGCUUGGUUUGGAACUUGGUCAUUGAGGAAAAAGAGAGCGUAGAAGUGUAUAUGGGAUAGAGAACAACUAUGAAUGUGGAGUGAAAAUGUAUGGAUGAAUGAACAACACAAUAUCUUAUGUUUUUUUUUGGCUUCCUUAUUGGUCUCAUGACUUUGCUUGAAUAAAUAUGGAGUAGUAAAUUUAACAAAGGAUGGAAACAAAACUAUAGAAUAUGUGUUGAAGAAGGAGGAGCCAAAAAUGGUGUGUAAACAUAACAAAUAGACCGUUUGGUACUAAUAUGAAAUCAAGAACCUCCUUUUCCAUUAAAUGGUGAUGCUUAAUAAUAUAGGGGGAAUAAGAAUAUGGC